rnacentral:rRNA from 1 species
UACGUAGGGUGCAAGCGUUGUCCGGAAUUAUUUGGCGUAAAGAGCUCGUAGGCGGUUUGUCGCGUCUGCUGUGAAAACUCGGGGCUUAACCCCGGGCCUGCAGUGGGUACGGGCAGACUAGAGUGCGGUAGGGGAGACUGGAAUUCCUGGUGUAGCGGUGAAAUGCGCAGAUAUCAGGAGGAACACCGAUGGCGAAGGCAGGUCUCUGGGCCACUACUGACGCUGAGAAGCGAAAGCAUGGGGAGCGAACAGG